GGGUUGUGAGGUUAAGCGACUAAGCGUACACGGUGGAUGCCCUGGCAGUCAGAGGCGAUGAAGGACGUGCUAAUCUGCGAAAAGCGCCGGCGAGGUGAUAUGAACCCUUGACCCGGCGAUGUCCGAAUGGGGAAACCCAGUGUGAUUCGUCACACUAUCGUUAACUGAAUACAUAGGUUAACGAGGCGAACCGGGGGAACUGAAACAUCUAAGUACCCGAGGAAAAGAAAUCAACCGAGAUUCCCCAGUAGCGGCGAGCGAACGGGGAGCAGCCCAGAGUCUGAAUCAGCUUGUGUGUUAGUGGAAGCGUCUGGAAAGUCGCACGGUACAGGGUGAAAGUCCCGUACACGAAAAUGCACAGGCUGUGAACUCGAAGAGUAGGGCGGGACACGUGGUAUCCUGUCUGAAUAUGGGGGGACCAUCCUCCAAGGCUAAAUACUCCUGACUGACCGAUAGUGAACCAGUACCGUGAGGGAAAGGCGAAAAGAACCCCGGCGAGGGGAGUGAAAAAGAACCUGAAACCGUGUACGUACAAGCAGUGGGAGCACCUUCGGGUGUGACUGCGUACCUUUUGUAUAAUGGGUCAGCGACUUAUAUUCUGUAGCAAGGUUAACCGUAUAGGGGAGCCGAAGGGAAACCGAGUCUUAACUGGGCGUUAAGUUGCAGGGUAUAGACCCGAAACCCGGUGAUCUAGCCAUGGGCAGGUUGAAGGUUGGGUAACACUAACUGGAGGACCGAACCGACUAAUGUUGAAAAAUUAGCGGAUGACCUGUGGCUGGGGGUGAAAGGCCAAUCAAACCGGGAGAUAGCUGGUUCUCCCCGAAAGCUAUUUAGGUAGCGCCUCGUGAACUCAUCUUCGGGGUAGAGCACUGUUUCGGCUAGGGGCCAUCCGGCUUACCAACCCGAUGCAAACUACGAAUACCGAAGAAUGUUAUCACGGGAGACACACGGCGGGUGCUAACGUCCGUCGUGAAGAGGGAAACAACCCAGACCGCCAGCUAAGGUCCCAAAGUCAUGGUUAAGUGGGAAACGAUGUGGGAAGGCCCAGACAGCCAGGAUGUUGGCUUAGAAGCAGCCAUCAUUUAAAGAAAGCGUAAUAGCUCACUGGUCGAGUCGGCCUGCGCGGAAGAUGUAACGGGGCUAAACCAUGCACCGAAGCUGCGGCAGCGACACUCUGUGUUGUUGGGUAGGGGAGCGUUCUGUAAGCCGUUGAAGGUGGCCUGUGAGGGUUGCUGGAGGUAUCAGAAGUGCGAAUGCUGACAUAAGUAACGAUAAAGCGGGUGAAAAGCCCGCUCGCCGGAAGACCAAGGGUUCCUGUCCAACGUUAAUCGGGCAGGGUGAGUCGACCCCUAAGGCGAGGCCGAAAGGCGUAGUCGAUGGGAAACAGGUUAAUAUUCCUGUACUUGGUGUUACUGCGAAGGGGGACGGAGAAGGCUAUGUUAGCCGGGCGACGGUUGUCCCGGUUUAAGCAUGUAGGCGGAGGUUCCAGGUAAAUCCGGUACCUUUUAACGCUGAGGUGUGAUGACGAGGCACUACGGUGCUGAAGUAACAAAUGCCCUGCUUCCAGGAAAAGCCUCUAAGCAUCAGGUAACACGAAAUCGUACCCCAAACCGACACAGGUGGUCAGGUAGAGAAUACCAAGGCGCUUGAGAGAACUCGGGUGAAGGAACUAGGCAAAAUGGUGCCGUAACUUCGGGAGAAGGCACGCUGAUAUGUAGGUGAAGCCCCUGCGGGUGGAGCUGAAAUCAGUCGAAGAUACCAGCUGGCUGCAACUGUUUAUUAAAAACACAGCACUGUGCAAACACGAAAGUGGACGUAUACGGUGUGACGCCUGCCCGGUGCCGGAAGGUUAAUUGAUGGGGUUAGCGGCAACGCGAAGCUCUUGAUCGAAGCCCCGGUAAACGGCGGCCGUAACUAUAACGGUCCUAAGGUAGCGAAAUUCCUUGUCGGGUAAGUUCCGACCUGCACGAAUGGCGUAAUGAUGGCCAGGCUGUCUCCACCGAGACUCAGUGAAAUUGAACUCGCUGUGAAGAUGCAGUGUACCCGCGGCAAGACGGAAAGACCCCGUGAACCUUUACUAUAGCUUGACACUGAACACUGGUCCUUGAUGUGUAGGAUAGGUGGGAGGCUUUGAAGCGUGGACGCCAGUCUGCGUGGAGCCGUCCUUGAAAUACCACCCUUUAAUGGCUGGUGUUCUAACGUAGACCCGUAAUCCGGGUUGCGGACAGUGUCUGGUGGGUAGUUUGACUGGGGCGGUCUCCUCCCAAAGAGUAACGGAGGAGCACGAAGGUUAGCUAAUCCUGGUCGGACAUCAGGAGGUUAGUGCAAUGGCAUAAGCUAGCUUGACUGCGAGAGUGACGGCUCGAGCAGGUGCGAAAGCAGGUCAUAGUGAUCCGGUGGUUCUGAAUGGAAGGGCCAUCGCUCAACGGAUAAAAGGUACUCCGGGGAUAACAGGCUGAUACCGCCCAAGAGUUCAUAUCGACGGCGGUGUUUGGCACCUCGAUGUCGGCUCAUCACAUCCUGGGGCUGAAGUAGGUCCCAAGGGUAUGGCUGUUCGCCAUUUAAAGUGGUACGCGAGCUGGGUUUAGAACGUCGUGAGACAGUUCGGUCCCUAUCUGCCGUGGGCGCUGGAGAAUUGAGGGGGGCUGCUCCUAGUACGAGAGGACCGGAGUGGACGCAUCACUGGUGUUCGGGUUGUCAUGCCAAUGGCACUGCCCGGUAGCUAAAUGCGGAAGAGAUAAGUGCUGAAAGCAUCUAAGCACGAAACUUGCCCGAGAUGAGUUCUCCCUGAGACUUCAAGUCUCCUGAAGGAACGUUGAAGACGACGACGUUGAUAGGUCGGGUGUGUAAGCGCAGCGAUGCGUUGAGCUAACCGAUACUAAUGAACCGUGAGGCUUAACCUUACAACGCCGAAGGUGUUU
rnacentral:rRNA from 1 species